AUUACAUAAUGGGUUAUUUGCAAGGAUGGUUGGCCGUGAGACGGCUCAGCGCUCCGCAUUCAAGUCUUCCCUCUCAAAUCCACCACCCGGAAUCCACUGCCGUCCGUCCCCUGGGCCUGGCCCACGACGUUGACAGCGGCUCGUAGCGCCCACCUCUCUCAUGGCACAGAAAGGGUGACUAUUUGGCUUGCUGCCGUGGGUCCCACGGGACAGUGAGGGGCUGGGCCAGGCUUCUGUGCUCCACGUGGCAGGAGUAGGGGGCUUGGUCCUCAGAGGGGACCCCCACCACCACCCAGGACUGGCGAUGGCUGUGGAGGCCACAGGAUGAGACAGAAGAAUCCCAAGAUGUAAACGGGCUGGAUCCCAGAGUCAUCCUAUGGAGGAGACUGCCUGAUCUGUCUUCAGUUUUACAUGAGGACGUGUCUGAUCUGUAUUCAACUUCACAUGAGCAAGAAAUAAAUAUCUCAUGGA